CGGGCCCAGAGAACCAAAGGAGGGCAAAGGGACUCUGCCCUAAAUUAGUCAAAGGUAACAAUAGCAGCUAGAAUUGAUUGACCCAAGAAAAAAUUACAAGAACUUUACCUGCAUUUGCUCAUUUAAUCCUUUCAGUAAGGUACAUGGGUGCUACUUAGUGUUCCUCUUUUACAGGGGUGUCCAGAGAAGGUAACUACUUUGCCCAUGUCCUAAACUGAUGGAAAACAGUCGGGUGACCUCAGGUUGGCCAACUGCACCCCUCUCUUGGAUUUUGAAUUACAAAUAAAUGAUGUAAAGAAGCAAGGCCAGCAGUGCUGGGUCAACCUCCUGUUUCCUGUUCCUGCUUGGUAGCAAGGCCAGCUAGGACUUAUAACAUCACUUUGGCCUGAUCCUAUAAUUGCAAUAGCAUAGCCUUGGCUUUCGGUUGUUUAGUCUGCUUCUAGUUACUGAGACCUAACCAUAAACUUCCAAAAGUUUCCUUUUCUGCUCAAAUUAGCCGUAUCUGGUUCCUGAUGAUUACAAAUAAGACCUUUCCUGAUAUACAAUGGUGACCUACUUAUCCAGGCAGAUGUAACAUCGUCCUGGCAGCGACAGAGGGCAGGCAAGUUCCUUGAACAGCUGAACAAGAAGAAAAAGACCUAAGAAGCAAGAAUUGAAGCCAGUUCUGCUUGUGUUAUAAUUCUACCCGCAGCUGCCUCUGUUUCACAGACCACAUGCUAAGGACCAUGUCCCUUCCCUUGUAACAGACGAGCAAAGUAGACCCAGGCCUUCCAACCCAGAGACCAGCUGAGCUGUACCGUGGACAAUCUAGGAUGUGAAAGACUUCACUCAAUGUCUUUGUCACUUGACACAUUGUUCCUCUCUUUGGGAA